rnacentral:tRNA from 2 species
GCCCUAAUGGCGGAAUUGGUAGACGCGCACGACUCAAAAUCGUGUUUCGAAAGAAGUGGGGGUUCGAUUCCCUCUUAGGGCA